GACGAACGCUGGCGGCGUGCUUAACACAUGCAAGUCGAACGGAAAGGCCCUGCUUUUGUGGGGUGCUCGAGUGGCGAACGGGUGAGUAACACGAGAGUAACCUGCCCUUGACUUUGGGAUAACUUCAGGAAACUGGGGCUAAUACCGGAUAGGAGCUCCUGCUGCAUGGUGGGGGUUGGAAAGUUUCGGCGGUUGGGGAUGGACUCGCGGCUUAUCAGCUUGUUGGUGGGGUAGUGGCUUACCAAGGCUUUGACGGGUAGCCGGCCUGAGAGGGUGACCGGCCACAUUGGGACUGAGAUACGGCCCAGACUCCUACGGGAGGCAGCAGUGGGGAAUAUUGCACAAUGGGCGGAAGCCUGAUGCAGCAACGCCGCGUGCGGGAUGACGGCCUUCGGGUUGUAAACCGCUUUCGCCUGUGACGAAGCGUGAGUGACGGUAAUGGGUAAAGAAGCACCGGCUAACUACGUG
rnacentral:rRNA from 1 species